rnacentral:lncRNA from 1 species
CUGAGACAUCCAUAGGAUCUGAGGUAUGGAGAUAUGAUCUCCAUUUAAUUUUUCUAAUAAUUUAUUUUUUUAUUUCAAAUUUUAUAUCAUGGUUACAUAUUCGUAUCAAGAUUCUUGCUAUGAUUUUUAGAGCUGAUAUGAUACAUAGAUAAAUUAAAAUUAUUUUAAUUUAUUUAUUUUCACUGCAUAGAUGUCUAGA